rnacentral:rRNA from 1 species
UACGUAGGGUGCAAGCGUUGUCCGGAAUUAUUGGGCGUAAAGAGCGUGUAGGCGGUCCGGUAAGUCAGCUGUGAAAGUCAAGGGCUCAACCCUUGAAUGCCGGUUGAUACUGUCGGGCUAGAGUCCGGAAGAGGCGAGUGGAAUUCCCGGUGUAGCGGUGAAAUGCGCAGAUAUCGGGAGGAACACCAAUGGCGAAGGCAGCUCGCUGGGACGGUACUGACGCUGAGACGCGAAAGCGUGGGGAGCAAACAAG